GUGGGGAAUAUUGGACAAUGGGCGAAAGCCUGAUCCAGCCAUGCCGCGUGUGUGAAGAAGGUCUUCGGAUUGUAAAGCACUUUAAGUUGGGAGGAAGGGCAGUAAGUUAAUACCUUGCUGUUUUGACGUUACCGACAGAAUAAGCACCGGCUAACUUCGUGCCAGCAGCCGCGGUAAUACGAAGGGUGCAAGCGUUAAUCGGAAUUACUGGGCGUAAAGCGCGCGUAGGUGGUUUUGUAAGUUGGAGGUUAAAUCCCCGGGCUCAACCUGGGAACUGGCUCCAAAACUGCAUGACUAGAGUACGGUAGAGGCUAGUGGAAUUUCCUGUGUAGCGGUGAAAUGCGUAGAUAUAGGAAGGAACACCAGUGGCGAAGGCGACUACCUGGACUGAUACUGACACUGAGGUGCGAAAGCGUGGGGAGCAAACAGGAUUAGAAACCCCUGUAGUCC
rnacentral:rRNA from 1 species